rnacentral:rRNA from 1 species
GAUGAACGCUGGCGGCGUGCCUAACACAUGCAAGUCGAGCGAACAGACCAUGAGCUUGUUCCUUUCACGUUAGCGGCGGACGGGUGAGUAACACGUGGAUCACCCACUUAUCUGUCGGGGAUAAUCACGGGAAACCGGAUCUAAUACUGGAUAAUAUACUGAACCGCAUUGUUCAUUAGAGAUUGACGGCUUUGGGGUCUGUUAUAGCUGCUUCCGCGCUGGAUUAGCUAGUUGGUAAGGUAACGGCUUAUCAAGGCUACGAUGCGUAGCCGACCUGAGAGGGUGAUCGGCCACACUGGAACUGAGACACGGUCCAGACUCCUACGGGAGGCAGCAGUAGGGAAUCUUCCGCAAAGGGCGAAAGCCUGACGGAGCAACGCCGCGUGAGUGAUGAAGGUCUUCGGAUCGUAAAACUCUGUUAUUAGGGAAGAACAAAUGUGUAAGUAACUAUGCACGUCUUGACGGUACCUAAUCAGAAAGCCACGGCUAACUACGUG